rnacentral:rRNA from 1 species
GGCGCACGGGUGCGUAACACGUGAGCAAUCUGCCGGGAAGUGGGGGAUAGCUCGCCGAAAGGCGAAUUAAUACCGCAUGUGGCCAUUCUUCGAGUGGAGGAAAAGCCAAAGCAGCAAUGCGCUUCCUGAUGAGCUCGCGGCUAUCAGCUCGAUGGCGGGGUAAUGGCCCACCAUGGCUUUGACGGGUAGCUGGUCUGAGAGGACGACCAGCCACACUGGAACUGAGACACGGUCCAGACACCUACGGGUGGCAGCAGUCGAGAAUUUUUCACAAUGGGGGAAACCCUGAUGGAGCGACGCCGCGUGGAGGAUGAAGGCCUUCGGGUUGUAAACUCCUGUCAUGCGGGAACAAGCAAGUGAUAGUACCGCAAGAGGAAGAGACGGCUAACUCUGUGCCAGCAGCCGCGG